GGUUGUGGCUCAAUGGUAGAGCAUUUGCCUGGCACACAUGGGACACUGGUUUCGAUCCUCAGCACCA
rnacentral:tRNA from 1 species